rnacentral:rRNA from 1 species
AGAGUUUGAUUCUGGCUCAGAACGAACGCUGGCGGCAUGCCUAACACAUGCAAGUCGAACGAGACCUUCGGGUCUAGUGGCGCACGGGUGCGUAACGCGUGGGAAUCUGCCCUUGGGUUCGGAAUAACUCGCCGAAAGGCGUGCUAAUACCGGAUGAUGUCGUAAGACCAAAGAUUUAUCGCCCAGGGAUGAGCCCGCGUAAGAUUAGGUAGUUGGUGAGGUAAAGGCUCACCAAGCCGACGAUCUUUAGCUGGUCUGAGAGGAUGAUCAGCCACACUGGGACUGAGACACGGCCCAGACUCCUACGGGAGGCAGCAGUGGGGAAUAUUGGACAAUGGGCGAAAGCCUGAUCCAGCAAUGCCGCGUGAGUGAUGAAGGCCUUAGGGUUGUAAAGCUCUUUUACCCGGGAUGAUAAUGACAGUACCGGGAGAAUAAGCUCCGGCUAACUCCGUGCCAGCAGCCGCGGUAAUA